GAUGAACGCUAGCGGCAGGCCUAACACAUGCAAGGUCGGAGGGGUAACAUUGUGCUUGCACAGAUGACGACCGGCGCACGGGUGCGUAACGCGUAUGCAAUCUACCUUUUACAGUGGGAUAGCCCAGAGAAAUUUGGAUUAAUACCAUAUAGUUUAUUAGAGUGGCAUCACUUUAAUAAUAAAGAUUUAUCGGUAAAAGAUGAGCAUGCGUUCUAUUAGUUAGUUGGUGAGGUAACGGCUUACCAAGACAGCGAUAGAUAGGGGCCCUGAGAGGGGGAUCCCCCACACUGGUACUGAGACACGGACCAGACUCCUACGGGAGGCAGCAGUGAGGAAUAUUGGACAAUGGGCGAGAGCCUGAUCCAGCCAUGCCGCGUGCAGGAAGACUGCCCUAUGGGUUGUAAACUGCUUUUAUACAGGAAGAAACACUGCUACGUGUAGCAGCUUGACGGUACUGUAAGAAUAAGGAUCGGCUAACUCCGUGCCAGCAGCCGCGGUAAUACGGAGGAUCCAAGCGUUAUCCGGAAUCAUUGGGUUUAAAGGGUCCGUAGGUGGAUAAUUAAGUCAGGGGUGAAAUCUUGCAGCUCAACUGUAAAAUUGCCUUUGAUACUGGUUAUCUUGAGUUAUUAUGAAGUAGUUAGAAUAUGUAGUGUAGCGGUGAAAUGCAUAGAUAUUACAUAGAAUACCAAUUGCGAAGGCAGAUCACUAAUAAUCAACUGACACUGAUGAC
rnacentral:rRNA from 1 species